rnacentral:rRNA from 1 species
CGCGGCCUAUCAGCUUGUUGGUGGGGUAGAAGCCUACCAAGGCGACGACGGGUAGCCGGCCUGAGAGGGCGACCGGCCACACUGGGACUGAGACACGGCUCAGACUCCUACGGGAGGCGGCAGUGGGGAAUCUUGCGCAAUGGGCGAAAGCCUGACGCAGCGACGCCGCGUGGGGGAUGAAGGCCUUCGGGUUGUAAACCUCUUUCAGCAGGGACGAAGCGAAAGUGACGGUACCUGCAGAAGAAGCGCCGGCCAACUACGUGCCAGCAGCCGCGGUAAGACGUAGGGCGCGAGCGUUGUCCGGAUUUAUUGGGCGUAAAGAGCUCGUAGGCGGCUUGUCGCGUCGACUGUGAAAUCUCAGGGCUCAACUCUGACAUUGCAGUCGAUACGGGCAGGCUAGAGUUCGGUAGGGGAGACUGGAAUUCCUGGUGUAGCGGUGAAAUGCGCAGAUAUCAGGAGGAACACCGAUGGCGAAGGCAGGUCUCUGGGCCGAUACUGACGCUGAGGAGCGAAAGCGUGGGGAGCGAACAGGAUUAGAUACCCUGGUAGUCCACGCUGUAAACGUUGGGCGCUAGGUGUGGGGGGCCUCUCCGGUUUCCUGCGCCGCAGCUAACGCAUUAAGCGCCCCGCCUGGGAGUACGGA